CCCAGACUCCUACGGGAGGCAGCAGUGGGGAAUAUUGCACAAUGGGGGAAACCCUGAUGCAGCGACGCCGCGUGAGUGAAGAAGUAUUUCGGUAUGUAAAGCUCUCUCAGCAGGGAAGAAAAUGACGGUACCUGACUAAGAAGCCCCGGCUAACUACGUGCCAGCAGCCGCGGUAAUACGUAGGGGGCAAGCGUUAUCCGGAUUUAUUGGGUGUAAAGGGUGCGUAGACGGGAAAAUAAGUUAGUUGUGAAAUCCCUCGGCUCAACUGAGGAACUGCAACUAAAACUAUUUUUCUUGAGUGCAGGAGAGGAAAGUGGAAUUCCUAGUGUAGCGGUGAAAUGCGUAGAUAUUAGGAGGAACACCAGUGGCGAAGGCGACUUUCUGGACUGUAACUGACGUUGAGGCACGAAAGUGUGGGGAGCAAACAGGAUUAGAUACCCGCGUAA
rnacentral:rRNA from 1 species